rnacentral:rRNA from 1 species
UACGUAGGGUGCAAGCGUUGUCCGGAAUUAUUGGGCGUAAAGAGCUCGUAGGCGGUCUGUCGCGUCGGCUGUGAAAACUCGGGGCUCAACUCCGAGCUUGCAGUCGAUACGGGCAGGCUAGAGUUCGGCAGGGGAGACUGGAAUUCCUGGUGUAGCGGUGAAAUGCGCAGAUAUCGGGAGGAACACCGGUGGCGAAGGCGGUUCUCUGGGCCUUACCUGACACUGAGGAGCGAAAGCGUGGGGAGCGAACAGG